GAUGAACGCUAGCGGGAGGCCUAACACAUGCAAGUCGAACGGGAUUGGGAGCUUGCUCCCAUGAGAGUGGCGCACGGGUGAGUAACGCGUAUGCAACCUACCUUUAACUGAGGGAUAGCCCAUAGAAAUGUGGAUUAAUACCUCAUAGUUCUAUUAGAUCGCAUGAUUUGAUAGAUAAAGCUCCGGCGGUUAAAGAUGGGCAUGCGUGACAUUAGUUAGUUGGUGAGGUAACGGCUCACCAAGACUACGAUGUCUAGGGGUUCUGAGAGGAUGACUCCCCACACUGGUACUGAGACACGGACCAG
rnacentral:rRNA from 1 species